UAGGCCCAUCCCAAACCCUUCUCUCAUUUUUGUUCACUCAAGCCCACAAACCGCUCACUGCUCUCUCUCGGACUGUCAUUCAGCAAUUGUCGCCGCCGCUGACGUGCACACCAUCAUCUCCCUAGCCUCACGCCCUCUGUCUUGCUUUACGAAUUUUCCGGCGAUAGACGUUAAAGAAUUUUCCGGCGAUAUCCGCCAUUUAACGUCGUGCUCCACUGCUCUGUUGCUGCAACAGCACGCCGCCGACUCUGUUUAUCCCCACUGAUUUAGCCACCUCGCAUUCAAUUCAAGGUUUUUUCUAAAAUCUGGGCGUGACAAUUACCUUCUAUUGAAAUUCUCAUUUUUUUCAUUUUGUCUUCGAUUGAAGUUCUCAAUUUUUUCAUUUUCUCUUUGAUUAAGAAAGAGAACAACUGCAUAUUCAGAACUCUUCGAUUGAAGUUUUCAUUUUUUCAUUUUCUUUAUAUUUUUUUAUUUCAUUUUUAUGGUGAAGACAUUGAGUUAAUUUUGUUGGUUUGAUGGCUGAAAUCCAUGUUUAUGAGUGAAAUUGUUGUUGAAAUCACGUUUAUUUAAAAUUUUGAAAUUGUUGUUGAAAUCACGUUUAUUUAAAAUUUUGGAGGAAAAAACUGUCAAAAUUUUUACCAGGAAAAUAUAAAACUGUAAAACUGUGUUUUCAUAUAAUAUAUAGAUAUAUAGAUAUAUAGAUAAGCCCAACAUAAAUAAAAUAAUCAAACCCAACUAAUUUACGAUUAUGUAUACAUAAAUUCUAAAAAGUUGUAUGGUAUAUUGAGCGAGGAGGUGGAUGUAUCCACCCUUUAUGUUUUCAUAUUCACUCAAAUGCUCUUCAUUUACCAUUUGAGUUACUAAUAAAAAGCGCAAGUUUCCUCAAAACUGACGACAAAGAAAGCUAGCCAGAAUGAAGCUGAGAGUGGUCUCUAGGAAGAUUUAUGAUUAUGUUCGCCACGAUCUCAAGGAGAUAGCAUUUCCAUCGUCGUUGCCUGAUCCGCCACACAUCAAAAAGUUCCGGAAACUUACUUGGAAGGAGCGAUACCUUGUGUUGAAGGAAGCAUCUAGACUGUAUGCUGCAAGCUGGGUUAGGGAUAUAGGCCCAGAACUCAGGCCAAAUGAAUACAAAAGGAAAGCAGAGAAUGAAGAUAACACCAAUGGGGAAAAAGGGACGUCGAAAGAGAAGGAGCCGUCAACUCUAGAGGAUCUUGCUGUGGCUGCAAGGGGAGGAAUGGAGACAUUAAGAGCUGCUCUGCAGCGAGUUUACAUGACCAGAGCUUCUGCUUAUAGAGAUGCACUUAAAAGUUUUAUUGAAGGUUAUCAAGAGGGUAUACAGCAGGUUAUGGAGAAGAAGGAAGAUUCCAAAAAUCAACAAGGACCUGAUCCUCCAAAAGGAUAAAUUUCAUUCAUAUGACACGAGUGCCUUGGGAACUCGGUAGUCCGCUAGCUUAGGAUGGAGAUUUAUGGCAUCCUCUAUAAUGGGCUUCACCGCCGGUCUAGGAAAGGAGUCUUAACGUCUCAUUUCUGUCAUUUGGUUCUGACUUUGGUGCCAGCAAGGGCUGUUGAUGUCGAGGCUCUAAAGACCGAAGACUCAUAAAGGAAAAUCGAGAUUAUGACAUGAACAAGGCACUCGUGUAGCUUUUAAAAUGUGGUUUUGGGUAGGACAUAUAACAAUGCAAGGGUUUAACAAGGUGAAGUUAGGCCAUAUAUUGGAACCCUCCCACUUGCAGAAGCACCAAACAUGAGUUUAGCAGUGAUAUUAUAUUGAAGAUGACAAAUCUUGUUUUCUUAAUAUUUUCUGGGUCCAGAUAAUAACAUGCAAAAUUUGACCAA